CCUACGGGAGGCAGCAGUGGGGAAUUUUGGACAAUGGGGGCAACCCUGAUCCAGCCAUGCCGCGUGCGGGAAGAAGGCCUUCGGGUUGUAAACCGCUUUUGUCAGGGAAGAAAUCUUCCGAGCUAAUACCUUGGGAGGAUGACGGUACCUGAAGAAUAAGCACCGGCUAACUACGUGCCAGCAGCCGCGGUCAUACGUAGGGUGCUAGCGUUAAUCGGAGUGAGUGGACGUGGAUGGGGAGCAGGCGGGUGAAAUCCCCGGGCUUAACCUGGGAACUGCACGUGUGACUGUACGGCUGGAGUACGGCAGAGGGGGAUGGAAUGCCGCGUGUAGCAGUGAAAUGCGUAGAUAUGCGGAGGAACACCGAUGGCGAAGGCAGUCCCCUGGGCCUGUACUGACGCUCAUGCACGAAAGCGUGGGGAGCAAACAGGAUUAGAUACCCGAGUAGUC
rnacentral:rRNA from 1 species